rnacentral:rRNA from 1 species
UAGGGAAUAUUGGUCAAUGGAUGCAAGUCUGAACCAGCCAUGCCGCGUGCAGGAAGAAGGCCUUCUGGGUUGUAAACUGCUUUUGCCAGGGGAUAAAAAGACCUUGCGAGGUUAAUUGAAGGUACCUGGUGAAUAAGCCACGGCUAACUACGUGCCAGCAGCCGCGGUAAUACGUAGGUGGCAAGCGUUGUCCGGAUUUAUUGGGUUUAAAGGGUGCGUAGGCGGCCCUGUAAGUCAGUGGUGAAAUAUCGCAGCUUAACUGUGAGGGUGCCAUUGAUACUGCAGGGCUUGAGUAAAGUCGAGGUAGGCGGAAUUGACGGUGUAGCGGUGAAAUGCUUAGAUAUCGUCAAGAACACCGAUAGUGAAGACAGCUUACUAGGCUUUAACUGACGCUGAGGCACGAAAGUGUGGGGAUCAAACAGG